AGCGGUGGAUGCCAUUAAGUACGGCGAGUGAAGCGGCAAAAGCUCAAAUUUGAAAUCUGGUACCUUCGGUGCCCGAGUUGUAAUUUGGAGAGGGCAACUUUGGGGCCGUUCCUUGUCUAUGUUCCUUGGAACAGGACGUCAUAGAGGGUGAGAAUCCCGUGUGGCGAGGAGUGCGGUUCUUUGUAAAGUGCCUUCGAAGAGUCGAGUUGUUUGGGAAUGCAGCUCUAAGUGGGUGGUAAAUUCCAUCUAAAGCUAAAUAUUGGCGAGAGACCGAUAGCGAACAAGUACAGUGAUGGAAAGAUGAAAAGAACUUUGAAAAGAGAGUGAAAAAGUACGUGAAAUUGUUGAAAGGGAAGGGCAUUUGAUCAGACAUGGUGUUUUGUGCCCUCUGCUCCUUGUGGGUAGGGGAAUCUCGCAUUUCACUGGGCCAGCAUCAGUUUUGGUGGCAGGAUAAAUCCAUAGGAAUGUAGCUUGCCUCGGUAAGUAUUAUAGCCUGUGGGAAUACUGCCAGCUGGGACUGAGGACUGCGACGUAAGUCAAGGAUGCUGGCAUAAUGGUUAUAUGCCGCCCGUCUUGAACCCCGGACA
rnacentral:rRNA from 1 species